AACAAACGCUGGCGGCGUGCCUAAUACAUGCAAGUCGAACGGGGAAAGCUUUCGGGUGAGUACUAGUGGCGCACGAGUGAGGAACGCGUGGAUAAUCUGCCUUAGAGUGGGGGAUAACUAGUCGAAAGAUUAGCUAAUACCGCAUAAGACCACAGGAGCUGCGGCUCAAGGGGUCAAAGGUUUUUCGCUCUAAGAUGAGUCCGCGUAAGAUUAGCUAGUCGGUGAGGUAACGGCUCACCAAGGCGACGAUCUUUAACUGGUCUGAGAGGAUGAUCAGUCACACUGGAACUGAGACACGGUCCAGACUCCUACGGGAGGCAGCAGUAGGGAAUAUUGCACAAUGGAGGAAACUCUGAUGCAGCGACGCCGCGUGAGUGAUGAAGGCCUUCGGGUCGUAAAGCUCUGUCGCAGGGGAAUAACACAAUGAAGGUACCCUGUAAGAAAGGAUCGGCUAACUUCGUGCCAGCCGCCGCGGUAAAAC
rnacentral:rRNA from 1 species